rnacentral:rRNA from 1 species
AUUGAACGCUGGCGGCAGGCCUAACACAUGCAAGUCGAGCGGGGUUUUCGGACCUAGCGGCGGACGGGUGAGUAAUGCGUAGGAAGCUACCCGAUAGAGGGGGAUACCAGUUGGAAACGACUGUUAAUACCGCAUAAUGUCUACGGACCAAAGUGUGGGACCUUCGGGCCACAUGCUAUCGGAUGCGCCUACGUGGGAUUAGCUAGUUGGUGAGGUAAUGGCUCACCAAGGCGACGAUCGCUAGCUGGUUUGAGAGGAUGAUCAGCCACACUGGAACUGAGAAACGGUCCAGACUCCUACGGGAGGAAGCAGUGGGGAAUAUUGGACGAGGGGCGCAAGCCUGAUCCAGCCAUGCCGCGUGUGUGAAGAAGGCCUUCGGGUUGUAAAGCACUUUCAGUAGGGAGGAAGCGUUGUGUGUUAAUAGUACACAGCGUUGACGUUACCUACAGAAGAAGCACCGGCUAACUCUGUGCCAGCCGCCGCAGUAAUAC